rnacentral:ncRNA from 1 species
UUAUCACGGGGUGCUGAAAAUUCGGCUGAGAUUAUACCCAUUGAACCUGACACAGAUAAUGCUGUCGCAGGGAUUCGAUAU